AAAUAAUUAAUUAAAUAAGUAAAAUGCCACAUGGCAAACAUGCCCCACGUGGGGCAUGCAGAUACAAAAAUAUCCUCCACACCGGCUAAAUUCGCAGUAAUCACUUGGACUURCAAUCUUUUAUACACGAGUAGGAUGCAGCUGGGCAUUCUCUGCAGCGGGAGCUAUCGAAGGAAUUAAUGUCGUCUCCAAGAAUAUGCUGAUGAACGUCUCAACUCAACAACUUAUAGACUGUGUUGAUAAAAAAGCGGGUUGUGAUGGUGGUUGGAUGAUUAAUGCAUUUAAGUGGGUUAAAAAUAACGGAGGGGUGACCAUCGAAGAUCUCUAUCGUUACGUGGGAGAAAAGCGCAAUUGCAAAUCUGUUCCGAACCUCGUACAAAUUAGUUGUUCAAGAUGAAGAGUCCCUCCAAUGUGCCGUUUUUCAGCAACCAGUCAGUGCAGCGAUUAUCACAACGCAAGACUUCUAUAAUUACCCAAGUGGAAUUUUCUAUGGAACGAAUUGCCGACCCUAUAACAUACCUCCAUGCGGUUUUGAUUGUGGGUUACACCCCAGAAUACUGGAUAGUGAAGAACUCAUGGGGAACCACCGGUUGGGGAAAUGGAUGCUACAUAGAUAUUGCGAGAAAUGUGGGAUAUCAAUGCGGAGCAUGUGGAAUCAAUUGCUUUGCUUCGUUCUUAUCCGGUUAAAUAAUCAAUUAAUUAAUGAUCUCUCCAAGGUCCAGUAAUACUCAAGUCUGAAGAUGUCUAGCCUCUGUCGCACUGACACAGUGGGUAAGCCUAAAAAUAGAAGAAAUAAAGCUGGCAACUCCCUUUAUCAGCCAAGGGAAUCUUUUGCUAGCGCUGGGUUUGCAUGAUGUUUGAUUCU